GCCGCCUCGUCCCGCUUCUCGGCUGAGGCGCCGCGCGGCCAGGCAGCGGGUCCAGGCCUCAGCCGCGCGCCCAGGGGCCUCCGGGGCCCUCCCGGGUCAGCAUGCCCGGGGUGAAGCUGACCACCCAGGCCUACUGCAAGAUGGUGCUGCACGGCGCCAAGUACCCGCACUGCGCCGUCAACGGGCUCCUGGUGGCCGAGAAGCAGAAGCCGCGUAAGGAGCACCUCCCCCUGGGCGGCCCGGGCGCCCACCACACCCUCUUCGUGGACUGCAUCCCCCUCUUCCACGGCACCCUGGCCCUAGCCCCCAUGCUGGAGGUGGCCCUCACCCUGAUUGAUUCAUGGUGCAAAGAUCAUAGCUACGUGAUUGCUGGUUAUUAUCAAGCUAAUGAGCGAGUAAAGGAUGCCAGGUACGUGGAUGCAGAACCCUCUGUGGGCGAGGAAGUGAGCACGUGUUGGGCAGACCCCGUCUCUCGUGUGCUUUUCG
rnacentral:sRNA from 1 species